rnacentral:lncRNA from 1 species
CAACACAAAAACUGCUCACGAUGUCAUAUAUGACUUAUUGAUUUUUCACAAUACAGUACACUAUACCAGAAGUCCAGCAGGAUACAUAUACAUAUAGAGCAGAAGUCUUGAGCUUCAUAGGCUCGGACCAGAGUAACCAUAUACUUGCCAUCAAGGCCACUAUAUUUUACAAAACCAUAUCUCACAUUAUACUAGUAAACAACCACUCAUAACAUAUGCACAUGAUGGAAGUAAGAGUCUCAAACGAU